UCAGUCGACUCCUACGGGGAGGCAGCAGUGGGGGGAAUAGUUGCACAAUGGGCGCAAGCCUGAUGCAGCCAUGCCGCGUGUAUGAAGAAGGACCUUCGGGUUGUAAAGUACGUUUCAGCAGUGAGGAAGGUGGGGUAUGGUUAAUAGCAUAUUCAUUUGACGUUAGCUGCAGAAGAAAGCACCGGCUAACUCCGUGCCAGCAGCCGCGGUAAUACGGAGGGUGCGAGCGUUAAUCGGAAUUACUGGGCGUAAAGCGCAUGCAGGUGGUUUGUUAAGUCAGAUGUGAAAGCCCGGGGCUCAACCUCGGAAUUGCAUUUGUAAACUGGCAAACUAGAGUACUGUAGAGGGGGGUAGGAAUUUCAGGUGUAGCGGUGAAAUGCGUAGAGAUCUGAAGGAAUACCGGUGGCGAAGGCGGCCCCCUCGGACAGAUACUGACACUCAGAUGCGAAAGCGUGGGGAGCAAACAGGAUUAGAUACCCUGGUAG
rnacentral:rRNA from 1 species